UUCGCGAUCAAAUGAUAUGCUAUUACUAGGAUGAUAGACAUCAAGUGUAGGUCAUUGUGUGCCAUAUAGGUUGGUUGUCCUCUUAACCAAGGAGCAUGGAGAUGCUGGUAUGGCAUGCAGGUGAAAUAUAGGAGUAUAUUUCACUGAACGUGACCAACUCAGGAGCACUCUACUGUCAAGAGUCACUCUGAAGGGAUAUGGGUAUAAGUAUCCCUC
rnacentral:lncRNA from 1 species